UGCAACAAGAGCCACUCUUUUCUUUCCUUUGUCCUGUCCUGAAAGGGGGCAGGGACGGAGCAGGAGAGCCUGCAGACGCAGGGGACGUGCCAGACGUGCAACAGGAAGGGCUCGGCGAGAAGAGGACUGCGAGGAAGGAAGGCAGGGCUUCCUGCAGCCCCUGGUGAACUUCCCCGUCCAGCUGUGAUCAACCUGCAAAGGGCACGACUGUGGUUCUGGCUCGGCUUUCCGUGGUCCCAGCUCUGGCUCUGGAAGCCACUCGGAGGAAGGAGCGGGAUUAGGGAGAAACGUCGAUGCAAGCUUCCUGAGUAUUGUGUUCCCCCAGAGCACCGACAGGCUCCCAGGGCCAGCGCUUCAGCAGACCGUGAGCCGUGGCAUUGAGAGUCCAGUGAGCUGGGGAGAAAGGAGGCUUUUGUCCUUAAGGCUUUUGGAGCUCAGGGAGGGGGGUCGCAUUCUAUAGCUGUGACUAAUUGAAAAAAAAGUGGUCCUGCCAAGGAUGGGGUGAAUUUACGCACGAAGCCGAAAGCUGAGAUGGGUCUCAGGAAAAUGAAAAUGAGGAAAGCCAGCAGUGGCCCGGGCAGAGGUCAAAUUAAUCUCUAGAACCUGCUUUGGC
rnacentral:lncRNA from 1 species